CCAAAGGCAACGCUGAAUUGGUGCAAUGGAGAAUGAAGUACGAAAAUAGUGCCAUCCAGAGAACUGAAGACUUGGAGGAUGCCAAAAGAGAUUUCUAAUCUGGCAAACCAGAUUAGAGAAGGAACCAAGAACUUAACUGAAAAG
rnacentral:lncRNA from 1 species